rnacentral:rRNA from 1 species
GGACGGGUGAGUAACGCGUGGGUAACCUGCCUCACACUGGGGGAUAACAGUUAGAAAUAGCUGCUAAUACCGCAUAAGCGCACAGCUCCGCAUGGAGCGGUGUGAAAAACUCCGGUGGUGUGAGAUGGACCCGCGUCUGAUUAGCCAGUUGGCGGGGUAACGGCCCACCAAAGCGACGAUCAGUAGCCGGCCUGAGAGGGUGAACGGCCACAUUGGGACUGAGACACGGCCCAAACUCCUACGGGAGGCAGCAUG